CGUGUUUGAAGCGGUCACCACAUAAUAAUUGCCCAGCAACUACGCAAUGCCCCACUGGCAUCAGAUACGUGUUUUUUAAUCCCACCGCCUCACGAGCCCCAUCACCAGCCGUCCAUCUAAAGCGAUAACGUGUCAAUCUCCACCGUCCGUUCCCUGCCGCUCUUUAUAUAAAAGGACGAGGAGCGUUCAAGAAAAUAAUAAAUUAUCAAACGCGCUUUGCGCUCUCUCCCUCUCCCCUCUUCGUAUUUGUCUCUGUUCCUUCAGAUCCGUUUGUAUGGGGUCUCCAACCUAGUUCGAGCCCUGAAGCUGUUAAAGUGGCGAGUUACUGUGCUGCAAUGCAUAGUUGGAGCAUUUCACAUGCGCCGAAGGGGUUUAUCUUGGGUCUAGCAACCCUCUUGACAAAGUCAAAAAAGAUCCGUUUGUAUGGAUUCCGUUCUGUGUUUAUGGAUCCGGAAUUCGAUUAGAUCUUCUCGAGAUCUACACGGUGAUGGUGGUUGUAAGACCUGAAGCUUUUGUUGUAGUCUGUAACCGGCUUCAGCUGGUGGCGUUCUUAUGCUUCUUCAUCGAUGUACAGCUGAGACGAUGGAGCUUUCCUCGAAUCUGAAGGAGUUUCUAUGCAGAUCCAAUCUCGUUUCGUUUUGUCUGGAGAUUCGAUUGUUGGUUACUGAGAGUUAUGGUAUUACUGGUUUGGCACGAUUGUAAUUUGACAAUUUGUGAGCCCAAAGGGAAGGCUUGGAUUUGGAACAAGGAUGUAUAAGAAAUCGGGACGAUAGGCUUAGUGAAUGAGCUGAGUCCUGGACCGAUCUUUUGUCAUCCGGCCUUUGCCAUGGCAGGUGCGCUUGCAUGGCAGGUCAAAAAAAAAAAUUAAUAAAAAAAAAGAAAUUUUUUGGUUCGAGGGGGAGACAGCAUGGGGAUUUUUUUUAGCCCAGGGUCUCUUCCCCUCUGUGUUCUGCUUUCUUUACUUUUUAUUUGCUCGUUCUGCUCAUCCAAACCAGCCGAAUCUCAGGUUCUGGACAACUUCGGCGACACCAAAGGUAUCAUCUGCAUCUGCGUAAUUCUUUUCCUUUUAAUUCUCAAAUAGUUACACUAAUAAUCUUAAUUCUGGCACAAAUAUUUGCUAUCUCUAUAUACAUGGCAACCGUUACUUCCAUGCACACACAAGUACUUGUUGCAAUAUGAAAGCGCAAAUAGAAUCCAUGAUACUAUGAAUCAUAUAUAUGCCACCUAAACAACUGAUAGACAGUUAGUUAUUUGAUUAUGGUUUUUUUGCUAAUCUGGAUCUUCAAAUCUAUUAAAGGUAAAGGGUUUACAAUUGAUAGACAUGUGGUAAUCCUUGCAAUUCUGAUUAAACAACUUUGCAACUUUUGAUCUAUGUCAAUUACAUCUUCAGCUAUCCAAUUCUCAUUCCAUUUUCUGCACUUAAUCAGUGCCUUGCAUCCAUGUUAUUUUUCAUAUAUAGUGCGUACAAACAAUUGAUCAAGUAUUCUCUGGCAUGUUGGCUGGAAUUUAUUUAUUUGUCUGUUAUGUAAGAUUGUAGUUUUUGUACUGGGUUGUAGUUUCAAAUUUACGCCCGUGUAUGGUAAUAUGAAUAGAAAAUUGGUUCCGACUUCUGAAUAAUCUUCAAGGCUGGAAGCAAUCUCUCUCUAUCAGAUGGCUGGGGGUUGGGAUCACCUCUGGAGGCUCAGGUGAUAAAUGAAACAGAGUUGGCCUAAGAUUGCCUAUGUUUUUAAAUUGUUGCACAAGGACUAAAUAGUUCUCUAAUUUCACCCAGUAUCUAUUGACUGAACUCGGAUGUAUUAUAUGUCAAGUCAUGAUCAGCCAGCAUAAGUGAACCUAUUCUUUCUGCUGUUUUUCUUAUAUCACUAUCAGAUUUAUUCCAGUAUCAUUCAUUAAAUUCAGAUGUAUUGUUAUGUCAAUCAUGAUCCCAGAUUAGUGAACUCUUCCUUUUUAUUUG